AAAGGAAUUGACGGGGGCCCGCACAAGCGGUGGAGCAUGUUGUUUAAUUCGAAGCAACGCGAAGAACCUUACCAGGGCUUGACAUCCCGCGAACCUUCUGGAAACAGAGGGGUGCCUUCGGGAACGCGGAGACAGGUGGUGCAUGGUUGUCGUCAGCUCGUGUCGUGAGAUGUUGGGUUAAGUCCCGCAACGAGCGCAACCCCUACGCUGUGUUGCCAGCACUUCGGGUGGGCACUCACAGUGGACUGCCGGUGAAAAACCGGAGGAAGGUGGGGAUGACGUCAAAUCAUCAUGCCCCUUAUGUCCUGGGCUACAAACGUGCUACAAUGGCCGGUACAAAGGGAAGCGACGCCGUGAGGCCAAGCGGAUCCCAAAAAGCCGGUCUCAGUUCGGAUUGCAGGCUGCAACUCGCCUGCAUGAAGUAGGAAUCGCUAGUAAUCGCAGGUCAGCAUACUGCGGUGAAUCCGUUCCCGGGCCUUGUACACACCGCCCGU
rnacentral:rRNA from 1 species